rnacentral:tRNA from 2 species
GAAUAGCUCAGCGGUAGAGCAAUCGGCUGUUAACCGAUCGGUCGGGGGUUCAAAUCCCUCUUC